rnacentral:rRNA from 1 species
AUCUCAGUUCAGACUGCAGGCUGCAACUCGCCUGCACGAAGUCGGAAUUGCUAGUAAUCGUAGGUCAGCAUACUACGGUGAAUACGUUCCCGGGCCUUGUACACACCGCCCGUCACACCAUGGGAGCCGGUAAUACCCGAAGUCAGUAGUCCAACCACGUGAGGACGCUGCCGAAGGUAGGAUUGGCGACUGGGGUGAAGUCGUAACAAGGUAAC